GAUGAACGCUGGCGGCGUGCCUAAUACAUGCAAGUCGAGCGAACGGACGAGAAGCUUGCUUCUCUGAUGUUAGCGGCGGACGGGUGAGUAACACGUGGAUAACCUACCUAUAAGACUGGGAUAACUUCGGGAAACCGGAGCUAAUACCGGAUAAUAUUUUGAACCGCAUGGUUCAAAAGUGAAAGACGGUCUUGCUGUCACUUAUAGAUGGAUCCGCGCUGCAUCAGCUAGUUGGUAAGGUAACGGCUUACCAAGGCAACGAUGCAUAGCCGACCUGAGAGGGUGAUCGGCCACACUGGAACUGAGACACGGUCCAGACUCCUACGGGAGGCAGCAGUAGGGAAUAUUCCGCAAUGGGCGAAAGCCUGACGGAGCAACGCCGCGUGAGUGAUGAAGGUCUUCGGAUCGUAAAACUCUGUUAUUAGGGAAGAACAUAUGUGUAAGUAACUGUGCACAUCUUGACGGUACCUAAUCAGAAAGCCACGGCUAACUACGUG
rnacentral:rRNA from 1 species